rnacentral:rRNA from 1 species
GACGAACGCUGGCGGCGUGCUUAACACAUGCAAGUCGAACGGUGAACCUCUUCGGAGGGGAUCAGUGGCGAACGGGUGAGUAACACGUGGGCAACCUGCCCCCGGCUCUGGGAUAACUCCAAGAAAUUGGGGCUAAUACCGUAUGUUCACCGCUUCCCGCAUGGGUGGUGGUGGAAAGGGUUUCCGGCUGGGGAUGGGCCCGCGGCCUAUCAGCUUGUUGGUGGGGUAGUGGCUGACCAAGGCGACGACGGGUAGCCGGCCUGAGAGGGUGACCGGCCACACUGGGACUGAGACACGGCCCAGACUCCUACGGGAGGCAGCAGUGGGGAAUAUUGCGCAAUGGGCGGAAGCCUGACGCAGCGACGCCGCGUGGGGGAUGACGGCCUUCGGGUUGUAAACCUCUUUCAGCAGGGACGAAGCGCAAGUGACGGUACCUGCAGAAGAAGCACCGGCCAACUACGUG